GUUAUUUCAAUGAACACCACUGCCUGUCUCAUUCCCGAGGCUUCUUUGAGGACGGAUUAAUAUCGUGCCAGUUGCAGACGGCUCUCAGCUGCAGAAUUAUUUCACACCUUUCCAUCCUCAUCCGGACACCAGAGACGUCAAAGAUCAUAAGACUGAAAUGAGCGACCAUCAAGAAAAAGACCGCAAGCACAGAAAGACUGCUAACUCAAAAUCUCAGCAAAUGAAGCACCAUCACCAAAACCAAGGCCAUGGUCAUCGUCAAAAGUUACAUCAGUCAGAUGACAACGAUAGCAAUGACAGCCAUUCAAGAGCCGAGGACAGGAUUUCCGAUGAUCAUCCACCCGAUGAUCAAAGUCAGUGGGAUGAUGACAAGACUCGUCAUCCUCGCCAUUGCCAUCAGAAGCAAAACCAUCGGCAUGUCUCUCGUUCAGAAGCUCCCCUGAGUUCCUCAACUGGUUCCUCUUCAUCGUCCUUCUCCUCUUCUUCUUCUCCAUCAAAACCUUCCUCCUCCUCUUCAUCUACUUCA